rnacentral:rRNA from 1 species
CAGCACCUCAAGUGGUCAGGAUGAUUAUUGGGCCUAAAGCAUCCGUAGCCGGCUCUGUAAGUUUUCGGUUAAAUCUGUAUGCUCAACAUACAGGCUGCCGGGAAUACUGCAGAGCUAGGGAGUGGGAGAGGUAGACGGUACUCGGUAGGAAGGGGUAAAAUCCUUUGAUCUAUUGAUGACCACCUGUGGCGAAGGCGGUCUACCAGAACACGUCCGACGGUGAGGGAUGAAAGCUGGAGGAGCAAACCGGAUUAGAUACCCGAGUAGUCC